GACAGAGGGUGCAAGCGUUGUUCGGAAUCAUUGGGCGUAAAGCGCGCGUAGGCGGCUGGGUAAGUCGAAUGUGAAAGCCCACGGCUCAACCGUGGAAGUGCAUUCGAAACUGCUCAGCUUGAGUCCUGGAGAGGGUGGUAGAAUUCCCAGUGUAGAGGUGAAAUUCGUAGAUAUUGGGAGGAAUACCCGAGGCGAAGGCGGCCACCUGGACAGUGACUGACGCUGAGGUGCGAGAGCGUGGGUAGCAAACAGG
rnacentral:misc_RNA from 1 species